UGGGGAAUUUUGCGCAAUGGGGGAAACCCUGACGCAGCAACGCCGCGUGGAGGAUGAAGUCCCUUGGGACGUAAACUCCUUUCGACUGGGAAGAUAAUGACGGUACCAGUGGAAGAAGCCCCGGCUAACUUCGUGCCAGCAGCCGCGGUAAUACGAGGGGGGCAAGCGUUGUUCGGAAUUAUUGGGCGUAAAGGGCGCGUAGGCGGUGCGGUAAGUCACCUGUGAAACCUCCGGGCUCAACCCGGAGCCUGCAGGCGAAACUGCCGUGCUUGAGGGUGGGAGAGGUGCGUGGAAUUCCCGGUGUAGCGGUGAAAUGCGUAGAUAUCGGAAGGAACACCUGUGGCGAAAGCGGCUCACUGGACCACAACUGACGCUGAUGCACGAAAGCUAGGGGAGCAAACAGGAUUAGAUACCCUGGUAGUCCUAGCCCUAAACCAUGAUUGCUUGGUGUGACGGGUACCCAAUCCCGCCGUGCCGUAGCUAACGCGUUAAGCAAUCCGCCUGGGGAGUACGGUCGCAAGGCUG
rnacentral:rRNA from 1 species